CCAAAAGUAAAUGAGAAACUUAGAGAAAGAUUGCCAAUCCCAAAUCAACACGCUUACAGAGAAUUGGAAAAGAAGAAGAUUUACGGCUUCAUUUGAGGACUUUUGUAAAGAACUCGGGUUCCAAUAUGAGCUCUAAAAUCUUGGAGCGAGAGCUGGGGGCAAUGCCAGAUCAAACAAGUUCAGGAAGACGACUGGAGGACUGGUUAAAAGGUCCGCCCCGUUGCCACCCGAAAGUGGAGAUUCCACAGGAAGAGCAAAAUCCUCAUCUGCCCGAGCAUGGAAAGCCGCUCCAGCCGCGUGAUGAACCUGUGGGCCCGGCAGAGUGUGAGAACGAGAGCCUUUGGGUACCAAGUCCGAAGAGCCUCCCGCCUGUGGGGGUGGAGCGGGCCCCUCUCGGUGACGUCGAGGACUAUGGUGCUCCUGAAGGACCCAGAGGAAGGACAUAUGGAGGCAGUAGUUGGGUAUAUGAUUUUAUGGGCCCUUCUCAGGUUACAGCAGACCGAGAUAAGGAGAAGACUGUCGCACUCCUAAAAGAAAUGGACAUUCUCCGAGCAAGCAAUAAAAAGCUUCGUGACCAGCUGGAAGAAAAGGAUGCAGAGCUGAAGACGGUACAACUUGAGCUGGAGCUCCUGGAACAAGCCACAGAAGCCAAGAUUGCCGAAAAAACAGCAGCUCUGGUUGAAGAGGUUUAUUUUGCUCAACGAGAACGUGAAGAAGCCGUCAUGGCCAGGCUGCGCUUAGCCAACGAGGAGAGAGACGAAGCCGUUUCACACGCAAAACAGCUAGAGAUGUCCCUUAAACAGCUAGAAAAUAUUAACCCUGAAGAAAAUGACAUGACAUUACAGGAAUUACUGAACAGAAUAAACAACGCAGGCACAGGAAUAGCGAUUCAGAAGAAUGGAGCUAUAAUUGUGGAUCAGAUAUACAAGACCAAGGAACUUCAAAAGAAAAUAACCACUGAAGAAUUGAACGCAGUGACAGAAGAGCGGGAUGCUGCUUUGUCUCAAUGCAAACGGCUGGAGCGGGAGCUUCAUCAUCUAAAAGAGCAGAACCAGACUUCAGCAAACAACAUGAGACAUCUGACUGCUGAAAACAAUCAAGAACGUGCUCUGAAGGCAAAACUGUCGACCAUGGAGCGAGCAAGAGAAAUGGCCAUUCAACAGUAUCAGAAACUAGAAGAAGAACUGCAGACACUCCGUGUUUAUUACAGCCUGCACGAGUCCUUAUCCCAAGAAGAAAGUCUCAAAGAUCAAUUAAAGCUUACCCUGAGUGCCUAUGACGAUGCACUGAAAAUCAGAGAGGACAUCAUCUCCCUCUCUCAGAAGCGGCAGGAGGAGCUGACCGCCCACCUUCAGGAAGCCCUGUCCGGUCGCACCGUGGCCGAAUCGAAGCUGCAGCAAGCGUUGGAGACCACCCGAGAGGCCAGUGAGAAAGUUAAAAAGCUGGAGAGGCUUGUGGACGUCCUGAGGAAGAAGAUUGGAGCCGGAACCGUUCGGACGGUGAUCUGAUCGAAAGUCGGCAGACUGGGAAGCGAUCACAUCUGGUGACCAGCCUGCUUCAUUCAACGCUGAGUAAACACGGAGCUUUAACUUAGCAAACAGUUGUUAGAAGUGGGACACUCCAACGACAUUCCAAGCUGAGAUAAAAUCAAAUCACAAAUGUUUAACCACUUUGCUGCUGACUUGGGUUAUUUAUCCAAAUGUAUUAAUGACCAAUUUCUCUGCAUGUGGAACAGACAGUGGCUGGAGUGGAGGAGAAUCUUGGAGGCUAUGGCAGGGUCGCUGAACGUCUUCACUGAGGAAGCAUUCAAGGUGGCGACGUCGUUGAUGUUUGCAUUUCUGCAGCCUGCCGUAAAUUGAAGAAGAGCUCAUGUAAGUGCUUAAGCAGGGUGUCCCCAACAUGCAGGGCCUCAUCUACAGCGGCAGGAUGAGUGUUUAGGAGAAUACUGAUGAGACGUCUCAUCUUAUGCUGUUGAGUCAUCGCUGAUCCAAAGUGACUCUGUGGACACACCUCUCCCAGAAUGCCCCAACUCCAUCUGCAGUCGU